AGCGCCCAAGCGGUAGUUGUC
rnacentral:miRNA from 1 species